rnacentral:tRNA from 1 species
GUUGGGGUGGCAGAGCCCGGUAAAGUGCAAAAGAUUUAAGCCCUUUCCACGGGGGUUCAAAUCCUCCCCUAAC